rnacentral:misc_RNA from 1 species
CAAGAAUGGUCCCCUUGAUGUAUAGUUAUGACGACAAUCAACGUCUUCCAGUCCUUGAACACCAUGUCAAGUCUCUACUACUCACAGAAACCAUGUCCCUCUAGAACAAAUCACCCUCAGCAACUAAUAUUUACAUAAGGAGGCUUGCAAAUGAGAAUCGAAUUCUCUAUUUUCUAAUAGUAUAAGAAGAUAAACCAGAAAUUGUAG